CGCCAAAAAACUGAGCACCGUCACAUAAUGUGACGUAAAUCGGGCGCGCUCAGACUUGCCAUCAUUCUGAUUACCGUAGUCAUUUUGUCACCCUCAUCAUGGCAAAGAAACUGAGAAAUACAUGUGAUGCAGCUUUCAAGUUGAAGGCGAUCAAUCUGGCUGUUGGAAAAGGAAAUAGAGCUGCUGCACGGGAGCUUGGCCUUAAUGAGUCGAUGAUAAGACGUUGGAACUGUGCAGAUCCGACUGAAAGCCAAAACAAUCGCCACCGCAAUGAAGUUUGACUUUCUUGGUUAUAUCAGCUGUUUUGGUGAACCCCUCCCGCAUCUGAACUGGCUGACACAAAGGGCACAGCAUGAUCAUAGGUAUGUUUUGAUGUGAGAGAGGAAGCCAGUCCCGUCAUCGCCACCUCACCCGCUCUUAAGAUAACCUUCGGGUUAACUGGGGGCCCAAGGCUGGUUAGGAGACACCACAAAUGUGAUAAUCUGAGAGAAUAUUAGGGUAGCACUGUAAUUCAUGAAUCAUAUGCUGUCUGCCGCUGUUCUUACCUCUCUCCCAGGCCUCGUCUUUCUUCCUCGUUUUAAAAUGCACACCAUAUGUGCAUUGAAUUACAGAUUGAACUUGUAUUUAUAAUAUUACAAUUAUCAUAAUUAUAAUGCAUUUAUAACACCUGGAACUUCUUUCAAUAAAGUGUUUCACAUUCUCCACUGGUUGAAACUAAGUAUCUCAUUGAAAUAAUAUCCUGUGUCCUCAGAUUAAUGCAGAUGAAGGGAGUUAGAUAUGCAUAGUUUUUUUCUGUAUAUAUGAAUUACAAAUCAAUCAUGUUUCUAGUCUAUUGCAUAGUUACAAUGUGUAAUCAUUGAUGUCCCAGGAGCAGUAAACACUGUUGAAGUGUAUAAUUGUAAUACAUACAUGCAGACACAGCAUUAUUCAAAUAAUGGAGUUUGAUAUGACUGAAAAAAGAAAGUCCCAGAGAUUCAUACCUGAACCACACCUUUAUUGGCCAAGGAAGAGUACAUGAUCAGUGAAUAUAUUCAAUGUACAGGCUACAAUGUGGGAAUCUCAUGCGUGGUAAUAACUACAGUACAUGUGUAUACGACUUGCAUCCUUGGCACAAUAAAGUUAUUAUAUUCUACUCUGUCCAUAAGCUUCGUUA